CUGCAGCAUAAAAAGGGACACACGCAGCACUGAGGAGGAAGGAAAAUGAAUGACCUCCUGAAACAAAGUGGCUGUGAGCGUGAGGAUCUGCGGCAAACUGUGCAGGACUGCCUCAUCUACAAAAAUCCGGGUAGCAGCCGUUGUCAGCCUUGGAUGAUGAGGUCCAGUUACCAGGAUCACUACUCUGCAGCUCACUGAUCCCAUCCUGCAGCUCAUCCAUGCCGUCCUCCUCUCAACAGACCAAAUCAAGAAAAACUAAGCAGGAUGCUACUGUGGAUCUGCUCUUCAGAUUAGCUCUGCUAUGAUUAACAAUCUGCCUUCAUCGCAGUCACAGCCAACGGCGACUACGUUUGAGAAGACAGAUGGUCUUAAGGCUAAAUGCGAGGCAGAGGUCAGCUGUUGCCUGGAUAUCUGGGAUCACGCCACUGGUGGGACACAAUUGUACUGGAUUUCAGCUGAAGGCUGCUGUUCUGUCCAAACUGUCAUGAGACAUUGACAUUUUUAUUGUGAAAUACCCACCACUGUUGUUAGUUUUUGUUUCAAUAAAUUGUUUGAGAUGAGGAAAUCACUGUUGCAUGUUUCUACGUAACUGCCUUUCAUGAUUUGGUAUCACCAUAGCAUUACAUUUACAUUUUCCAUAAAUUUCACCCAAAAGUUGAAUAACUAUUUGUGAGCGGUGUAUGUAGACACGUCAUGUAAGCACACUUCAAUAAUAUAUCCGCUGCAGUAGUGCAGUUUAUCUAUCUUAUCUGUCAAAAUGUGUAUAACAGAAGUGUGCACUGAACACUGAAUAAAGUCUGUAGAUUAUAGACAAAACAUGCAUCUUUCAUCACAAAUUUCUGUU